AGGUGAGCCGGGACAGCCUUCUUCCUCCGCCCAGCCGCCACAGUAAUUUGUCGUCAAGUUUGCCACAGGAGGAUAUUUUGUUCUGGGUUAACCUGCUUUUCUACCUCGCAGGUUGUUUAUCAAUAUUUGUGUAAUUUUAAUUACUCCUAGAAUUUCCGCAUGUGUUAGCAGAAAUUAUUUGAUUAUGGUCUGUAAUAUUGUUAUCAUGUUGGACCUGUAAACUAAAUAUGCUAUGCAUGUUUGAUGGAUUGGAUGAGGGAGCUGAGCUCCCAUUUAUUUUA